AUUGAACGCUGGCGGCAGGCCUAACACAUGCAAGUCGAACGAGUGGCGGACGGGUGAGUAAUGUCUGGGAAACUGCCUGAUGGAGGGGGAUAACUACUGGAAACGGUAGCUAAUACCGCAUACCAUCGGUUGUGGCCAGAGGGGAUUAGCUAGUAGGUGGGGUAAAGGCUCACCUAGGCGACGAUCCCUAGCUGGUCUGAGAGGAUGACGAGGCAAACUGGAACUGAGACACGGUCAAGAGUCCUACGGGAGGCAGCAGUGGGGAAUAUUGCACAAUGGGCGCAAGCCUGAUGGAGCCAUGCCGCGUGUAUGAAGAAGGCCUGCGGGUUGUAAAGUACUUUCAGCGGGGAGGCGUUAACCGCAGAGGAAGCCCCGGCUACCUCCGUUCCAGCAGCCGCGGUAAUUC
rnacentral:rRNA from 1 species